rnacentral:tRNA from 1 species
GGGCCUAAAAAGCCCCACGAGCA